rnacentral:lncRNA from 1 species
GUUUACUGGCUAUUAUAAAUGAAUUUCCCCGCCUGUUGUUCCGUUUGUGCAGUGUGUGUCAGCUCUAUGGUAAUCAAAUCAGUUUAAAAUACCUUCUUUAAAAAACAUACAUUGUACAUAGGACUUACAUUCUCCACAAGCCAAGAUAAACACCUAAGCAUUAGUCAGAGCUCUUCCUCCUUUGUCCAUCUGUCUUUCAACCACUCUGUCUGACAGAACUACUAGUUUUGAGGUUGGUAGGUACUCUAAUUGUUUUGGUGUUAGAGCCAAGGGAGGGGAUGGGACAUUUUCACUCCAGAAGUGAUUUUUUCCCACAGGUGCUUCACUGUGCCAUGACAUUACCUGUGCUGUCUCUCUGACCUUGACACGGGAGAUGGAGCUAAAUGACACCAGCAAACUCAGAAAGGAAGCAACUUCAGCCAAAGCCUGAUAAUUCUGCACACUGGAGGGCAACACAUGGACCACAUCCACAUGCCCGCAAUACUAGGAGGCCUGCAGCUCAUGUUGUUUCCUUUCCUGAUGUCUGCAUUAGGUCUUCCAGAUUUGCAAGGUGGGAGAAUGUGAGUUCUGUGCUUAAACAAGAAUCAGGAGCCAGAACUGAAGAUCUCCUUCCCACUGCAGUAACGACUGGUAAUCAGAGAUAUGUCAUCUCUUCUAUUUGUGCCUCAAGUCCCUUAUAAACUCCAGGGAAUCACCCUGUUAAGCACCAGAUUUUGAAAAUGCAAGAAAUCCUUCAUGGAAAGUCAUGAUUGUGAAAAUCACAGCUUCCACUUCUUUAGGAUUGCUCGUCUGAUAAAUCUCAGGUAAGGUUUUAAUGUGAUGGACAUGCUGUAAGAACACAUGGCUACUUAUACACCAGGUUCCAUUCCAUUGGCACAUCUACAACUGCAGAUUGUAUAGCAAAGCUUCCGUGAAAUAGCCCUUUUCCAGCUUAAAAACAGAACAUUUUUCUGGGUUGCUUUUUGUUGUCUGUUUGUAGUUUUGUUUUGUUUUGUUUUGUUCCAAAUAAGAAAUCACUGAUCCUACUGCUAGAAUACACCAACACUAAAUUUCUCAGAAUUUGCUGAAUUUUAGGAGGGUGUUGUGGUGGCACGGUUUUAACAACAGAGAGAGAUUGAUCAUUGAAGCAUGGAAAGCAACAACAAAAGCACAGCAAAUGCCAGAAGAGAGAAAAAUCUUCAAAUGAACCUGUAUGAAGAUUUAUUUCGUUUUAAAUGCAUUUGCUUUGAUUGUAAUUUCUCCCCUUCUUCCAGGAAACAAGUUCACUGGCAGGAAUGUUCAUAGACAACUGUGGGUAUUUUUAUUUAUUUAUUUUAGUUACCUUAAAGAAAACACAAGAGAAGAUUCCUGGAAAACUAAUUCUGUUGUUAUAAAUAUUUGAAUUGGAAGAGAUAUUUCUGAAGUUAAAGACCUGUGAUGUGCCCAACUGGUACCUUUUCUCAGAAUUAACCAAGUCAAGACUUAAUCGACUUCUACUACUGCAAAAUAAUUAAAAAAUAAUGUGAAAUAAUUACAUUGCAAUCCAUUAGCACAUGCAACAAAU